AGCAGCCGCGGUAAUUCCAGCUCCAAUAGCGUAUAUUAAAGUUGUUGCAGUUAAAAAGCUCGUAGUUGAAUUUCGGGGUCAGUAGGUCGGUCGUGCCACUGGUAUGCACUGGUCUCACUGAUUCCUCCUUCUUGAAGAACCGUAAUGUCAUUAACUUGGUGUUGCGGGGAAACAGGACUGUUACCUUGAAAAAAUUAGAGUGUUUAAAGCAGGCCAGCGCCUGAAUACAUUAGCAUGGAAUAAUGAAAUAGGACGUUCGAUCCUAUUUUGUUGGUUUCUAGGAUUGACGUAAUGAUUAAUAGGGAUAGUUGGGGGCAUUAGUAUUCAAUUGUCAGAGGUGAAAUUCUUGGAUUUAUUGAAGACUAACUACUGCGAAAGCAUUUGCCAAGGAUGUUUUCAUUAAUCAAGAACGAAAGUUAGGGGAUCGAAGACGAUCAGAUACCGUCGUAGUCUUAACCAUAAACUAUGCCGACUAGGGAUCGGAUGAUGUUAAUUUUAUAAUGACUCAUUCGGCGCCUUA
rnacentral:rRNA from 1 species